rnacentral:tRNA from 1 species
GGCUCGGUAGCUUAGUUGGUAAGGCGCUCGUCUAGCAUAUCAAGAGUCCUGAGUUCAAAUCCCAGCCGAGCAC